CAGCUCUCCGAGUGGUAGGGAUGAUUAUUGGGCCUAAAGCGUCCGUAGCCGGCUUAGCAAGUCUCCUGUUAAAUUCAGCGACCUAAUCGUUGGAUCGCGGGAAAUACUACUAGGCUAGGAGGCGGGAGAGGUCAACGGUACUUCUGGGGUAGGGGUGAAAUCCUAUAAUCCCGGGAGGACCACCAGUGGCGAAGGCUGUUGACUAGAACGCGCUCGACGGUGAGGGACGAAAGCUGGGGGAGCGAUCCGGAUUAGAUACCCGAGUAGUCC
rnacentral:rRNA from 1 species